rnacentral:rRNA from 1 species
GACGAACGCCGGCGGCGUGCUUAACACAUGCAAGUCGAACGGAAAGGCCCUGCUUUUGUGGGGUGCUCGAGUGGCGAACGGGUGAGUAACACGUGAGUAACCUGCCCUUGACUUUGGGAUAACUUCAGGAAACUGGGGCUAAUACCGGAUAGGAGCUCCUGCUGCAUGGUGGGGGUUGGAAAGUUUCGGCGGUUGGGGAUGGACUCGCGGCUUAUCAGCUUGUUGGUGGGGUAGUGGCUUACCAAGGCUUUGACGGGUAGCCGGCCUGAGAGGGUGACCGGCCACAUUGGGACUGAGAUACGGCCCAGACUCCUACGGGAGGCAGCAGUGGGGAAUAUUGCACAAUGGGCGGAAGCCUGAUGCAGCAACGCCGCGUGCGGGAUGACGGCCUUCGGGUUGUAAACCGCUUUCGCCUGUGACGAAGCGUGAGUGACGGCAAUGGGUAAAGAAGCACCGGCUAACUACGUG